rnacentral:rRNA from 1 species
CCUACGGGAGGCAGCAGUGGGGGAUAUUGCACAAUGGGGGGAACCCUGAUGCAGCGACGCCGCGUGGGUGAAGAAGCGCCUCGGCGUGUAAAGCCCUGUCAGCAGGGAAGAAAAUGACGGUACCUGAAGAAGAAGCCCAGGCCAAAGACGUGCCAGCAGCCGCGGUAAUACGUAGGGGGCAAGCGUUAUCCGGAUUUACGGGGGGUAAAGGGGGCGCAGACGGCGAUGCAAGCCAGGAGUGAAAGCCCGGGGCCCAACCCCGGGAGUGCGCUUGGAACUGCGUGGCUGGAGUGGAGGAGGGGCAGGCGGAAUUCCUGGUGUAGCGGGGAAAUGCGUAGAUAUCAGGAGGAACACCGGUGGCGAAGGCGGCCUGCUGGACUGCAACUGACGUUGAGGCCCGAAAGCGUGGGGAGCAAACAGGAUUAUAUACCCGGGUAGUC